rnacentral:rRNA from 1 species
GAUGAACGCUGGCGGCGUGCCUAAUACAUGCAAGUCGAGCGAACGGACGAGAAGCUUGCUUCUCUGAUGUUAGCGGCGGACGGGUGAGUAACACGUGGAUAACCUACCUAUAAGACUGGUAUAACUUCGGGAAACCGGAGCUAAUCCCGGAUAAUAUUUUGAACCGCAUGGUUCAAAAGUGAAAGACGGUCUUGCUGUCACUUAUAGAUGGAUCCGCGCUGCAUUAGCUGGUUGGUAAGGUAACGGCUUACCAAGGCAACGAUGCAUAGCCGACCUGAGAGGGUGAUCGGCCACACUGGAACUGAGACACGGUCCAGACUCCUACGGGAGGCAGCAGUAGGGAAUCUUCCGCAAUGGGCGAAAGCCUGACGGAGCAACGCCGCGUGAGUGAUGAAGGUCUUCGGAUCGUAAAACUCUGUUAUUAGGGAAGAACAUAUGUGUAAGUAACUGUGCACAUCUUGACGGUACCUAAUCAGAAAGCCACGGCUAACUACGUG